AAAAAAAAAACAGAAAAGAAAAGAAUCAAAAUGAAAUAAAGAUAAAGGAUUUGAUGAAAUAGGAUAAAUAUACAUAUACAUAUAUAUAUAUGUGUGUGUGUGUGUGUGUGUGUGUGUGUACAUGUGAAGGAAGAUAAAUCAGGGAAGAGCUUGGAAAGUAAGGGAUGGUGGUGGGGGGGUUAGUCUCGAAGCGUGCGUUGGUUAGUAGAAAGCUACGCGUCAGAGCUCAGUUCGUUUGCGACGCUCGUGUCGUUCGCGUCUCUCUCUCUCUUUUUCUCUAGUAACUAUUUGAAUUUUCGUGAUCGUAUAAAAACGUGUCCAAUGAUUAUUCAGACAGUUUGAAGACGUACUUCUAAUGUAAACAAACAAGUAUUUACGUCGAAUGUGUAUAAUUUUAGUGACACGAACGAUCAUUUCGUUUGUUUCGAUAGAUCGAUUCUCGCGGACACCGUGGGAAAUGUUCGAAGGUGAGAAGAAAGAUCGAAGAAGUCAGAACGAAGUGCAGCCGGUGAUCGAGGAUCAACGUGGAUCUAUGUGGAUAGGACGAGAUCGAGGAAGAAGACGAGAAUAUAGAAAAUAGAUAGACGAAUAAAAAGAGAAACGGAGCUAACGAAGAGAAAAGAGAGAUAUAUAGAUAGACUGAGAGAAAACAUAGGAUAUUUUUUAUCUGUUUCUUUCUUUCCU